rnacentral:lncRNA from 1 species
AACAAACCUGUGAAUAACCGGAAUUGGGAAUUAUAGGUGUGGCCACCAAUUGGAAAGAAGAAGUUUGAGACUCUAUCUUACCUUCCCGACCUUUCCGAUGUCGAAUUGGGAAAGGAAGUUGACUACCUUCUCCGCAACAAGUGGAUUCCCUGCGUCGAAUUCGAGUUGGAGGUAAUUAAUUCAUAAGUAUAGUUACAUUGCUAGAAACCUAACUCAAUAACAUGAUUUUAUAAUCCGGAAAACAAUGUGAAUAGUCCUAUAUCAAUUGUAUUGAAUGGUUUUUCGAUGCGUGUAUAGCACGGAUUUGUGUACCGUGAGCACGGAAGCACACCCGGAUACUACGAUGGAAGGUACUGGACAAUGUGGAAGCUCCCAUUGUUCGGAUGCACUGACUCAGCUCAAGUGUUGAAGGAGGUCGAAGAGUGCAAGAAGGAGUACCCCAACGCCUUCAUUAGGAUCAUCGGAUUCGACAACACCCGUCAAGUCCAAUGCAUCAGUUUCAUCGCCUACAAGCCACCAAGCUUCACCGAGGCUUAAUUUCUUUUCCGGAAUAUUCAAUGUUGGCUAUGGGGAAACCAAUUUUUUUGGUCAAUGUAAAUUCAAAGUAAUUAUCAGCCAACUUAAAAGUUGAGGAAUUGUUUUGCAAAAAUGAAAAAGUUAAAAGGUUUUUUUUUUCUAUCACUUUAUUUUUCGUCUUAGUCAUUUUUACUCUUUUAUAUUCGUUUUAGCUCCUUUUAAUUUCAACAACAGUUUUUUCCUUUAAUUUCUCUUCAUAAUUCUUGAUUUUGAGUCUUGACUCUCUAGACUAACAUCCAACAAAAAGAGAUAUGGACCUUUUUGCUAACUUUAAAAAACAAAUUGCACAUGGCAAUGUAUCAUGGAUAAUUAUUAAGUUUGAUUCAAGUCCAAAAAGUAUAUGGCAACGUAUCAAGCGUGAAUAUUUAAAAUUUGGAAAUUGUUUUACCUUAAAUAGAUAAUUAACUAUUCAAAGCUAUCACAAGGAAAAGUAAUCAAUGUUCCAAAAUAUUCAAGAUUAACGAAUAAAUAUGAAAUUAUUCUUGCUUCUAUAUGAUGAUGAAAGAAUCCAAAUGUUUGUUUUAGGUUUUUUUUCUUCGAGAAAAUACAAAAAAUAAAAUAUCAAUUCUCUGAAAUUCUACACAAUCAAGAUUAAAAAACGGAAAAAAUACAAGAAUUAAGUUGUGUAUUUUUUAAUUUCCAUUUUUCUCCAUUUUAUGUCGUAUUUAUUUCGCAUAAUUUUCUUAUGUCAAACAAAAAGGAUGGAGAAAGAAAAAAAAAAAGCGAACAACAAAGAGUACCUAUGAUCUUACGAAAGAGUAUCUAAGAUCAUGUAACUUGAACGUCAAUUGCGUAAGAGAUCUUGAAAGGACUCAGGAGUUUGAGGUAUGAUAGUUUGAGAUGAGAGAAGUGGGGCACUUUUAUAAAUAACAAAAAGUUUGGAACGAAUUUGUAAUUACCAAAAGUUAUGGGGCGAUUUCAUAAUUACCAAACGUUUUGGGUCAUUUUUUAAUUAAACAAAACUGUGGGGAAAAAUUUGUCAUUAUUUUAAGUUGUGCGGAAAUUUCGUAUUUACUGAAAGUUGUGGGGCAAUUUCGUAUUUACAUAAAGUUGUGAGGCAAUUUCGUAUUUACCGGAAGUUUUUGGGCAAUUUUGUAAUUACCAAAAGUUGUAGGGUAAUUUCAUAAUCACCAAAAGUUGAAGCGUUAUUUUGUAAUUACCAGAAAUUGUGGGGCAAUUCUUAAUUACAGAAAGUUAUGGAAAAUACAGUAAUUUUCCAUGGGCGAUUUCGUAGUUAAGAACAGAUAUGUGGUGCUCUUUUUAGCUGUCAAAACUUGUUUUAUCAUUUCAUAAAUAUCGAUAUAUGGGGGUAUUUUGUAAUUAUAACAAAAUGUAUGGUAAUUUAAAAAGAUGUUUGGCAUUUUGUAAUUACUGGAAUUGUGAGUCAGCUUUAAUUAACAACAUAUAUGGGACUAUUUCAUAAUUACUAGAAUAUCUAAAAGAUUACGCUUACGCUUUCAUUAGACCGGCCAUAAACAAAUCGUGAGAGCCCAAUGAACAUUUGUAUUGAAUUCCAAGUUUUUUACAGCAUAUAUUAUUUGCAAAUAGGCCCCAACAAUAUUUAUUUACAAAUUGGCCCCAUAUUAUUGUUACUUUGGCCUCCAAAUUUUCUGACCGGACCCUGCUUAAAAGAAAUGGAUGCAUGCUUUGUCGUCUAUAUCAAGCCUAAACUUUGUAUGGAGUUGUAUAACAAGACAUCAUUUACGAGAAUGAUUAGGAUCAAGCAAGAGCUAAUCUAUUUGUGAGAAGAAUGAUGAGUUUCGUUUGGUUUAGCCGUUUAGGUGAGAGUGAUACUGUGAUAGUGAAAGAAACUUACUUUCAGAAAUGCCCUAAUUAAACUAUAUUGGGGAAUAGUUGAACCCGCCAAGAGAUGAAACAUAUUCAGAAUAAAUUUGUUUUUUUCCGAAGAAUGUUGUAUGCUUUGCAACAGUAGGAUUUGAACCUUGUGUAGUACUAGCCGUAAGACAUAAUACAUAGUAGCCAACAGUUCAAACCUGAUAACAAAAUAGGAUCUCUACCACGAAUAAGUGCGAAAUUAACGUGAAAUAUGUAAGGAGGAGAUUGUAGACACAAAUCAGAAACUAGUCAUUAUCACAAUUUCAAAAUAGAUUUGCAAAGCCGAGUGUUUACAACAAGUUAUAUAGGUAAUAUAAAUUGUGGAAAAGUUUGGUUCGUCAAACAGAAGUUGACUGCUCAGUUAUGUUCGAUUACGUAUUUACACGUCUAGUUAGAUAAUUUUCUAUAGUACGUAAUAAUUGAUUGUGAACUAAGUCGUCUUGAUCCUGUGGUAAAGGGAGGUAAGUUCUGCCACAUGGGUUCGUGUAGCAUUGGCCAUGGGAGUUCGAAAUUUAGCAUGGUUUUUCCGACUCCAGAAAAUUAGUGUUUGGACCUAAAAACCUUUCGGAAUUACUCCUGAAUUAUAAAAAUAAAAAUAAAUAAUUAUUGAUUGUGAGCUUAUUAGCCGAAUCAAAUUAACCAAAAUUGAAUUAUACAUUACUAUGAUAAUAUAAGUACGUUACUUUAUAUUUAAGGCCAUGCGUUUGGUAUCUCUCUUCCUCAAAAGGAAGAAGCCAAAAGCAACCGGUCAAGUGGAGAUCAGUAGGCAGUAACCAUACACACAACUCACUCGUCUUUCCCCACAAUAGAAAGAUAAGAAAAUGGAGUUUUCUGCCACAUGGCCUUAUCCUAGUGGCCCGUAUCGAUAAGGGUGUCAACACCUUUCCUUAAUUCUGUGGCAGCUAAUGACGGUAUCAUGAAUGAUGGACCCUUUGAUCACUGUAGGGCUUUUUGCCUCUUGUGGUUCGCACUAUAUAAAGAUGAACAAAUCAAUAGGCAGACAAGUAGUAAAGUAAGAGAAAAGAGAAAAAAAGAAGAAGAGAAAAAACAAGAAGAAGUUGUAGUAAUGGCUUCCUCUAUGCUCUCCUCCGCCGCUGUGGUUACCUCCCCGGCUCAAGCCACCAUGGUCGCUCCAUUCACCGGCUUGAAGUCAUCCGCUGCUUUCCCCGUCACCCGCAAGGCCAACAACGACAUUACUUCCAUCGCAAGCAAUGGCGGAAGAGUUAGCUGCAUGAAGGUAAUGUCAUUAAUAAAAAUAGUCUUUUGUAAUGUGCAAUUAGUACAAUUGAACAAAACUGAGAUUAACCGGAAUUGGGAAUUAUAGGUGUGGCCACCAAUUGGAAAGAAGAAGUUUGAGACUCUAUCUUACCUUCCUGACCUUUCCGAUGUCGAAUUGGGAAAGGAAGUUGACUACCUUCUCCGCAACAAGUGGAUUCCCUGUGUCGAAUUCGAGUUGGAGGUAAUUAACUCAUAAGUCUUCCUUGGUCUCUAAGUAUACUUACAUUGCUAGAAACCUAACAAUGUGAAUAGUCCUAUAUCAAUUGUAUUGAAUGGUUUUUUGAUGCGUGUAUAGCACGGAUUUGUGUACCGUGAGCACGGAAGCACACCCGGAUACUACGAUGGAAGGUACUGGACAAUGUGGAAGCUCCCAUUGUUCGGAUGCACUGACUCAGCUCAAGUGUUGAAGGAAGUGGAAGAGUGCAAGAAGGAGUACCCCAACGCCUUCAUCAGGAUCAUCGGAUUCGACAACACCCGUCAAGUCCAAUGCAUCAGUUUCAUCGCCUACAAGCCACCAAGCUUCACCGAAGCUUAAUUUCCCUUUCUUGAAUAUUCAAGCGUUGACUAUUUUGGAAUCCAAUUCUGUAUGGUCAACGCAAAUUUUAAGAAAAAUAAUUAGCCGACUUCAAAGUUGAGAAACUCAAAAGUUGAAUGUUAUUUUUAUAUAUCAAUUUCCCUUUUAUUAUGUCUACUCGUAUAAUUUCACUUUUGCUCUUAGCCUUUUUUUUCUUUUUUCUUAGAUACUUUAACAACAUUUUAGUUCCUAUAAAUCCCCGUAAUAGUUCUUACUCCCUAGACUAAACCAUUAACCUUAAUUUAUAUAAAAAGAGAAAACUGUUUGCUACUUUUUUUGAGAAAUUUUGCAUAUGAAAGCAAUAACAAAGAUGCCUCCAUCAAUCCUUUUGAUACAAUUGAUAGUGAGGAGAGAUAGCGAAAGGUCGUAAAAGACAUAAAGAAAAUCCAAAUGUAACUCAUAACACCAAAACACAUGUAUUCCAAAACCCCUAAGUGGGAUAUUAAGUUUAAUUUGAAGUCCAAGAAUCACUGAGAUGACAUCAUAUCAAUCAAUGAUCAACAAAGACUGAAAUUUAUGAACUAUAUGAAUUUGGAAAAUUUUGGAAAAUUUGAAACUGACGUUAAAUUAAUCACUUAUUUUAUGUAGCUGAAAUUUCUAAUAAAAAUUUCAAGUUAUAAUAUAAUCAAAAUGGUUUAGUUUUCUAUACAAAAAAAAAAUGUUUUUGGAUUUUUCGAUGCAAACGGAAUACAAACCAUUAAUGUGCAAGAUUUCGAAGAUAAAUCACAAAUAUAGUUAGAAGUUUUGAAAUUAGCGAACAAUAUGUCCAUAUCUAGGAUUUAUUCACACCUUUUUGGUAUCAAAUAAAAUCCAAGGUAAAAAGGAAAACAAAAAUAAGGACUUAAAAAAGACAAUAACGUAUACAACAAAAAGGUGAGAAAAUUUUGUAACUUAAAUGGAUGGGUCAGGACUUAUGACUUAGGAUGGUCUUAGUUUUGACAAAUGAUAUAUGUGGUUGAAAUGUGGAGUGGUAUGGAGCUUGUGAUUCAUUUCCCUAACAGGAGAGCUUUUACAUGACAAUGUUUGGUGAUUUUGUAGCUUUAAGGUGAUAGUUGUGAAACCAUGACCAUAGCUUUAUGUGGCUUUAGGCCUUAGGGUCUUCUUGUCUCAGUUCCACACCAUCAAUUGAAAUGAGUUAAUUAUGAUCAUUCCUCAUGAGCCUUUGUUGCUUGCAUGGUUAAGUUGACAUGGUGGUGGGAAUCUACUUGAAGUGCCAUAUUCAUGCUUGAGUAGAUUUAAGUGCAAUGGCGUUGGCGUGGCCGGUUCUAAGGAAUGCGUCGAUAGACUUAUUAAUUCGACUAUGACAAAGAAUGCUUCGAAGUAGCUAAAGGUAGAUAUGCUCGACUGAAAAAUGUAUUUUGAGGUGAUCCAAAGGGUCACAAAAUCGAGUGGUAGCUGGUACGUGUAAAGUAUUAAAAGCUGGCCUUAGAGGAAUAAGCCAAAAACAUACUUAUUAUCGGCGAAAAAGGAGAAAAGACAAAAACUAGUAACCGCUUACGUUGUUGUUUACGUUCAAGUCCGGUCUUGUAAGAAUGACAAUAACACACACUAAAGUAGAUGUUCUAGUUAAUUUUCAACAAAUUUGAUUAUUAGCUAUGCAUUAUGUGCGUAUAUAUAAAUCAAAGUGGUACCAUACGGAUGCUAAUAUUUUUUAAAAUAAUCAAAGAGGUUCUUGGCCGAAACUCAUACAUCCUUUCAGGUCCGAGACCAAAGCAUGUUAUAUGGUCUCGUCCCAAAAUCUACUCGAACCGGCGACCUCUAAACUUUUGUCAGAGAACUUUACCAAUUGAGCUAUUAGCACUUGGUUAUACGGAUGCUAAUAACAUAAAAUGUUAAGUGUUUUUUGUUUCUUCUAAAUAACUAAAAAGCUAUGGGUUAUAAAACAAAACAUUUUAAAUGGUCCUCUUCCAUGUAGCUCUCGAAACCAAAACAUUAUAGUUACAUGUUCUACUUUACAAACAAUUUAGCUUAUAAGAAAUCAGAUAAAACUCCAUACUUUUUUUCUUCAUUUUAUCUUCUUCGUUUAAUAUGCAACAUUAUUCACCAAAUCACGUUAAGCCAAACCAAAUCAUGCAUGGUAAAUAAAAGGUCCAAAAACAUUAAAUUUUAAGGGCAUGCGGCUAAUUUAUUUUCUCCAAAAAGGAAGGAGCCAAAAGCAACCGAUCAAGUGGUGGAGACUAGUAACCAAACACAAUUCACUCGUUUCCUCACAAUAGAAAAGAUAAGAUAAUGGAGUUUUCUGCCACAUGGCCUUAUCCUAGUGGUCCGAAUCGAUAAGGGUGUCAACACCUUUCCUUAAUCCUGUGGCAAUUAACCACGUUAUCAUGAAUCCUGGACCCUUUGAUCAUUAGGUCUUUUUGCCCCUUAUGGGUUCUCACUAUAUAAAGAUGACAAAACCAAUGGACAAAACAAAUAAGUAAGAGUAAAGAGAUAAAAGAAGAAGAGAAACAACAAGAAGAAGUAGUAAUGGCUUCCUCUAUGCUCUCCUCCGCUGCUGUGGUUACCUCCCCAGCUCAAGCCACCAUGGUUGCUCCAUUCACCGGCUUGAAGUCAUCCGCUGCUUUCCCAGUCACCCGCAAGGCGAACAACGACAUUACUUCCAUCGCAAGCAAUGGAGGAAAAGUUAGCUGCAUGAAGGUAAAUAAUGUCAAUAAUAAAAACAUUCUUUUGAAAUGUGCAAUUAGUGCAAUUGAAGAAUAACUAGAAUUGGAUUUGGGAACUAUAGGUGUGGCCACCAAUUGGAAAGAAGAAGUUUGAGACUCUAUCUUACCUUCCUGACCUUUCCGAUGUCGAAUUGGGAAAGGAAGUUGACUACCUUCUCCGCAACAAGUGGAUUCCUUGUGUCGAAUUCGAGUUGGAGGUAACUAACUCAUAAGUCUUCAUUGGUCUCUAAGUAUACUUACAUUGCUAGAAACCUAACAAUGUGAAUAGUCCUAUAUCAAUUGUAUUGAAUGGUUUUUCGAUGCGUGUAUAGCACGGAUUUGUGUACCGUGAGCACGGAAGCACACCCGGAUACUACGAUGGAAGGUACUGGACAAUGUGGAAGCUCCCAUUGUUCGGAUGCACUGACUCAGCUCAAGUGUUGAAGGAAGUGGAAGAGUGCAAGAAGGAGUACCCC